rnacentral:rRNA from 1 species
AUUGAACGCUGGCGGCAUGCCUUACACAUGCAAGUCGAACGGCAGCAUGGAGAGCUUGCUCUCUGAUGGCGAGUGGCGAACGGGUGAGUAAAGCAUCGGAACGUACCGUGUAAUGGGGGAUAACGUAGCGAAAGUUACGCUAAUACCGCAUACGACCUGAGGGUGAAAGCAGGGGAUCGCAAGACCUUGCGUUAUACGAGCGGCCGAUGUCAGAUUAGCGAGUUGGUGAGGUAAAGGCCCACCAAGGCGACGAUCUGUAGCGGGUCUGAGAGGAUGAUCCGCCACACUGGGACUGAGACACGGCCCAGACUCCUACGGGAGGCAGCAGUGGGGAAUUUUGGACAAUGGGGGCAACCCUGAUCCAGCCAUGCCGCGUGAGUGAAGAAGGCCUUCGGGUUGUAAAGCUCUUUCGGCCGGGAAGAAAUCGCACAGGCUAAUACUCUGUGUGGAUGACGGUACCGGCAUAAGAAGCACCGGCUAACUACGUGCCAGCCGCCGCCGUAA